CCUACUGGAAUAUGUGGCUUGGACGCUUCCCCUUUAAGAGAAAUUAACCUUUAACUCACCUGACCGCACCUGCACUUCCGGUCCAGCGACAAACACAACAGAACCGGAGAGCUGCGCAGUGACGCUGAAUAUUUACCUGUGAGUUUCCACGACAACGAACCCAACAAAUAUCAUACAUGUCCCGGCGGGGGGAGGAGCUGACCGGGGGCCCAACAUGGAGCUCCGAGGAAGACAAGAUGAAGCUGAAAAAAUCAGAGGAGGAGGAGAACAUGGUGAAGUCAGCCUGGAUGGAGCCCAGCACCUUGCAGUGGCCUGGAGACAGGCAGACAGACAGGCAGACAGACAGGCAGCUGGACAACAGAGGGAGCGUGGGAGGAGAGGAGAGGAAGGAGGAGCAGGGCGAGGGAGAGAGGAGGAGUGUCCGGUCAGAAUGCAUUUCAUUCCAAGGCGCAGAGAGUCAGACGGAGAGCGAGAGAGAGCUGCUGGCAGGAGGAGGGGGGAGGAGAACAGGGGGGGAGGAGGAGGAGAGGAAGGAGUUGGAGCUGAGGAGAGGAGGUCAGGAGGAGGGAGGGCAGGAGAACUUCCUUCCAGAGAAAGCAGCUCAGGUCUUCAGCCCGGCGGUGACCGUCCUGCAGCCGGCUUCUCCCCGGGACACUGAGGCAUUCUGGGAAAUGGAGUCCGAGAAGAGCCCCUUCCUGGGGCCCGGCGGCAUCCAGGACGAGUUCCACUACCAGCAGGAGCCAAAAUGUGGGUGUGUCUGUCCCAGCAGGGAUGGAUUGAAGGUGGGUGUGUCUCUGUUCACAUCGGCGCUCUUCUUCCCCUUCCUGGUUUGGGGCGGCUUCGUCUUCCUGCCAUUUGACGCUCCUCUGCUAGACAGCGCCCCCCUCAGGCUGGUCUACACCCUGCGCUGUUCUGUGUUUGCUGCCGUGCCCAUUGUCCUCGGGUGGCUGGUGCUGGGCGUCAGUCGGCUGAGGACGGGGGAGCUCCGCCCCCUGGAGGAGGGGCUGACGGCGGCGGCUCGGGAGGCGAACGUCCACAGGCGCUUUGUGGCCGACUCCACCUCCCUCUUCUUGAUCUACUUCCUGCAGCUGGUCGUCAUGGCGAUGUACCUGAGCCAGGAGCAGCUGAAGCUGAUUCCCCUGCUGACCAUCGUCUUCGCCCUCGGACGGCUGCUGUACUGGCUGGCGGCCGUCCUGAGCAGCAGCGUGCGAGGCUUCGGGUUCGGCCUCUCCUUCCUGCCCAGCCUCGUCAUGCUGGCAGCAAACAUCUACUUCAUCUUUACUGUGGAGGCCGCAGGCUCCAUCUACGCCGCCGCCACGCCCCCGGAGCCGCCGCCGCCGCCUCCUCCUGCCAGACAGAGGUUCUGGGGUUAGAGGAGGAGGAGGAGGAGGAAGAGGAGGAGGGGGCGGCCAGACUGAAGGACAAGUGCUGAAGAGGAACUUUUGUUCCUGUAAACGGAGACAGAUAGAGAUGUUUUCCUGAAAUGCUUUUCUAGGUGGUUGCUGUUCUACAUGUAGAAGUAAAACGACACAGAAACAAAAGACAAAAAGGUCCUGACCGCAACAUGAGCCAGCUGAACUGGUCUGACUGGUUCGACAGGAAACACCCGGAACUUCAUCAAGUUUCCAAUCAGACGAGAGGAAGUGAGACCAUUUGGCCUUCAAAAUAAAAGCCUAUAGAGAUGGAAAAAGAAGAGAAACAAUUCAAAAUAGUUUAUACAGUUAAGAGCUGAUGCAUUCCAUGUGAAAGUAUGAUUUAUAUGUUAAUAAAUAGUGUGAAAACGUCUUUGCUCUUAGGAUUAUAAAUGCCCUUGCAAUAUUGGACUUUAUUUUAUUUUUAUCCUUUAAUUUUA